AUCCUUCCUCUUGGAGCCCUUCUGUGAGCCCAGGACAUAAAUAUGCAGUUUCCAAACAUAUCAUUUUCCUUCUCCUGAAUUGACCUGCCAGUAAGCAGCUUGGCAGUUUACUGAGACCAACAAAAGCUGCCUGCAUCUUACACUUUGGGACCUGAGCUGAAACAAUGCCCAUCCCAUGAAUCCAAAGAAGCAGAUGAAAGCAGAGGACCUGUACGCACACUAAAGCUACAGUUUACUAUGAAGAAACUGCUCAGUCUCCCACAGUCAUAGAACCAUUGGAGUUUGGAGGGGACCUUCAAAGAUCUUCUAGUCCAACUCCUCUGCAAUGAACAGGGACACCUACAGCUUGAUCAGUUUGCUCAGAGUCCUGUCCAACCUGACCUUGAAUGUCUCCAAGGACAAAGCAUCCACCACUUCUCUG
ensembl:lncRNA